rnacentral:misc_RNA from 1 species
GACAAGAAAAAAAUAUUUAUAUUUAAUUUAAUUAAACAUUUUUAAUGAGAGUCACAUUAAUGAAGAGAGGAGAGAGAUAUCUUUUUUUUACAAAUGUCACAUCAGCAUAAUAAAUCAGACAAUCUAUUUGUGAAGGUAAAAAAGAGUUUUAUAUUCAUUGGAUUGAAGUUAAGAGUUUUAGUGACUAUAAUGGUUUAGAAAUAUUAAGAGGGAGAAAUUUCUCUGAAUUUAGCUUCCUGUUUCUCUCGGGUUCGUCGAGCUCCAAUUAGUCUCUCUUUUGGCUUCCCUUGCCUUCAGCUAAGGGAAGGCUUUUCAUUUUAUUUUUGGUUAUCUUGCUUGGUGAAGAGGAAAGCCCUAUCCCAGCUAGGUGUGACUAUAAAUGGUUUUGUUGUGGGUGUUUAGAUUUCUUCUUUGCGUACAGGUCUAAGCUUCAGUGUGAGGGCAUCUUUAACGGCCUAGAAUGUUUGAGUUCCUGGGUUUGUGCUAAAUGAAGAGGCAAUGGCGGAUGGUUCUCUAGAGGAAGCUUUGUUUCCUAUUUGAUGGGUUUCUGUCAUCUUCUUCAUCUAUGAUGGGUUGCUAUGCAUGUUGAGAGUUGCUCUUGCCAUUCUGCAUUUCCAAAAUUUACUUCUAUACCAAGGCUAUGAAGGCCAUCCUAUCAUAGCUUUACGGUGGCCCCCUUUCCUCGAUGUAUAGUGGUUUUAAUGUCCUUAUUAUAGAUUUGGGAGGCUCAAGCUGUUCGGUUGAAAUGUUGUGAGUGGAUGGGCAUCUUUAUGUACUCCUUGCAUUGCUAACUUAUGUGGUCUAGCUUUGUUCUGCUUGGUGCUUGUGAAGAUAGCAAGUGUAGUUGGCGGUCGAUGCUUUUCUUUUUUCACUGCUCUUCUUCCUGCAGGUUUGGAUUUUGGUUUGCUGUUAUGGGCUUGGGUUUCAAUUAGUUGGUUAAUUAGGUUGAUUGUGUUGUUGGGUGGGUUGCCAUAGUUCAGUUUGGGCUUCCCCCUUCUUUACAGGUGUAAGCUCAAUUUGUACAUCUUUGCCCUAUGGACUUUUAAUGCAAUUUGGCAUAUAAAAAAAAAAUGUUAAAUGAAUUUUAUGCUACAAAUUGAAAUUCAGGCAUUGCACUAUUGUAAUACCCGAAGUUAAAUUUACCCAUGAAAGUUUAAAGUACCAAAUCUAAUUAUUAAAUGUGUUUUCU